UACGAAGGGGGCAAGCGUUAUCCGGAAUUAUUGGGCGUAAAGGGCGCGUAGGCGGCCUGGCAAGUGGAAGGUGAAAUCCCUCGGCUUAACCGAGGAACUGCCCUCCAAACUGCUUGGCUUGAGUCCGGGAGAGGUGAGUGGAAUUCCCAGUGUAGCGGUGAAAUGCGUAGAUAUUGGGAGGAACACCAGUGGCGAAGGCGGCUCACUGGACCGGAACUGACGCUGAGGCGCGAAAGCGUGGGGAGCAAACGGG
rnacentral:rRNA from 1 species